rnacentral:rRNA from 1 species
AGUGAACGCUGGCGGUAGGCCUAACACAUGCAAGUCGAACGGCAGCACAGUAAGAGCUUGCUCUGACGGGUGGCGAGUGGCGGGCGGGUGAGGAAUACAUCGGAAUCUACUUUUUCGUGGGGGAUAACGUAGGGAAACUUACGCUAAUACCGCAUACGACCUACGGGUGAAAGCAGGGGAUCGUCGGACCUUGCGCGAUUGAAUGAGCCGAUGUCGAAUUAGCUAGUUGGCGGGGUAAAGGCCCACCAAGGCGACGAUCGGUAGCCGGUCUGAGAGGAUGAUCAGCGACACUGGAACGUGGACACGGUCCUGACUCCUGCGGGAGGCAGCAGUCGGGAACAUUGGACAAUGGGCGCAAGCCUUACCCAGCCGGACCGCGUGGGUGAAGGAGGCCUUCGGGUUGUAAAGCCCUUUUGUUGGGAAAGAAAAGCAGCAGGUUAAGACCCCGCUGUUCUGACGGUACCCAAAGAAUAAGCACCGGCUAACUUCGUG